UUGGCUGGGAUUGGCUUCAGCAGACCCCCGUGACCCUGUAGUUAGGAUAUAGCGGGAUGGAUGAAGGAUGGAUGGAUGUAUUAGGGCCUUCCAAGUCAAAUGAAUAGCCAUGGCUGUGGAAUUUCCAUGUUGAUGGUAUGACCAUUUCAUAUUGUAACUAUCAUUUUUUGUAUGUCUGUAUUUAAUGUUGUGUCCAGGUUUCCAAAGGACCAUUUUGUGGUGUCUCUGUAUUUCAUCCUCGAGGUCCCCUUCAAUUUUAAUGAGUUGUGUCUCAACUUUAGUCCUCUCUUCUUUCAUUGUAGUAUUUGUAGAGGGAGGAUUAUAUCUGGUUGCUGGUUCCCAUUUUUGUCACCUUCUACAAUUUGUGUUGGAUAUUUGUGUUAUGUUUAAUUUAUUUUAUUAUAUUUGUUUUUUUUUUUUAUUUCAACAUACUAUCCAUAGUGGUUUUGAAGUUCCAGAAAUGCCUACCUUUCAAAAUCCAGAUCAUUUAAAUGUUUAGACUUUAUUGAGCCAUUAAUGAGAAGACAGAGUAAAGACUUGGCACUACAUCUGAAAUGAACAAAUGUCUUGCUAUUCUGUUCCAUAGCACUGCAUUCUGCAGAUUUCAGAUUUUUUCUUUUAGAAGAAACGUCAGCGUCCCUUCUCCAACAUCCAGCACAGGACACUGAUGAGCAGGUACA